CUGCUAGCAAAAAGGAUCAUGCCUUUCACAAAAGGAUUAUGUCUGAUAGCAAAAGCACCUUAACCACGGCACAUUAAUCUAAACUUACAACCUUCAAAUAUUUCCAGCAACUUUACACAAAAAGAAAUAUAAUACUAUAAAUAUCUUCAAUGACAAAAUGACUUCACAGCUGUCAAACUAGAAUCUAAAUCACUAGGUGGCUUGUGAAUUUUGCUGAGUUUGCAACUGCACAGGUGGAGGACAAUUGUUGUUCAAUUGUGCAGCCACCGUUAAAUCAAUUCCAGGAGUUGGCAUGAAUUGGGAAUCAGCCGGUGGUUGAAGCAUCAUCUGAUCGAAACUCUCCUUCACCUGCAGUCGUCUCAAACUGGAUUGUAGGAUCUGCAUUUCGCCUCACCAUAAGACGUUCCGCUGCAUUCUUGUCAUACCGAAAAUUAUCAUCAUUCACAUCAUCGUCUAAAUCAAUCAAUUGGCAUUCAAGAAGUAUCAAUUCCUUCUCCUCAGAAGUAUUGGCUGCAUUGGAAAAAAAUACGAUUAGAUGUUUCCUAAUAAAUCUUCCAAUAUAUAUAAAAUACAUGAAUAUAUAAGUGCAUAAAUUUGCUCACAUGCCGUUGGACAAUGUAUAUGGAAAAGAGUUGCCCUAAAUUUUGGACUUUCUAAACUAGA
rnacentral:lncRNA from 1 species